rnacentral:rRNA from 1 species
AACGAACGCUGGCGGCAGGCCUAACACAUGCAAGUCGAGCGAGGACUUCGGUUCUAGCGGCGGACGGGUGAGUAACGCGUGGGAAUGUGCCCUUCUCUACGGAAUAGCCCUGGGAAACUGGGAGUAAUACCGUAUACGCCCUAUUGGGGAAAGAUUUAUCGGAGAAGGAUCAGCCCGCGUUGGAUUAGGUAGUUGGUGGGGUAAUGGCCUACCAAGCCGACGAUCCAUAGCUGGUUUGAGAGGAUGAUCAGCCACACUGGGACUGAGACACGGCCCAGACUCCUACGGGAGGCAGCAUUGGGGAAUCUUAGACAAUGGGGGCAACCCUGAUCUAGCCAUGCCGCGUGAGUGAUGAAGGCCUUAGGGUUGUAAAGCUCUUUCAGCUGGGAAGAUAAUGACGGUACCAGCAGAAGAAGCCCCGGCUAACUCCGUG